UUUGUCAAUUACCAAACGCGUUUGUAGUUUAUGUUUUUUUAAAAUUAAUUUAAAAAUAAACAAAAACCAGUUUAUAAAAUUUUUGUAAAUAUAAACUGAAAACGUAAACAUUACCAAACACACCCGUAUUUGAUAUUCCAUUCAUUAGACUAUUUAUUUAUUCUUUCAUAUUAGCGUUUUUCAAAAAAAUUAGUAUGCGGGAUAUUUUGCCUUUGAUUUACAUUGUUCUACUCGCAUAUAUUGAGAGCAAUUUUUGCACCAUAUUCUGAGUGAUUUAUUUGUUAAGUGCAAUAACUGGUGAGAUUUGAGUCGAAGCAUGUUUCAGAAAGAGAUUUGGGUUAUAUUUCACUUUCAGGCUAAGGUUGUGUCUGUGUUUGCUAAACUUUUUUCACACACUCCAAAUUUUGAAUAUCAUGAGAUAUCUGUAUUUGCUGCUAGCGUCUUGAACUUUGAUUGAUUAUCUUGUUAAGGUUGUGAAAUUCAUGGCUGAUUCUUUAACUUUGGCAUGAGAAUGAAAGAAAUCCCUUUAGUAAAGAAAUUUUUGGAUGUUUGUGGGUAACAUCUUUGGAAAUCCUCACGAGACUUUUACUCAUCCACGAGGGGUAACCUAUUGGAUUAAGGGCUUGUUGCAUGUGCUAAAUUCAAUCGUGAUUUCUUGCAGAAGUGGUUUAGAGUUGUUGCUUUUAUUUUACUUUUUGAUUUUAUUUUAGUCACCCUAAUUGCUAGGUUCUAGCAAUAAAGCUGGUUGGGAGGUGUGAUGAAUGCUUAAAAUUACAUAGUUGUUCUAUGAAUUUUGGAUAUUAUAUUCAUUCUCUCAAUUUGUAUUUAAUUGUGAUUUAAUGAAUUUAAUUUAAAUUUGUAGAAAAACUACAUUUAAGCCUUCAACAAUAUCAAUUGCUCAACAAGGCCCAUAAGACUCGGUAUGCUUCUAAAUCAUCUCAUAACAUCUACAAAACCUCUCUCAAAGAUAAUAGCAAAAACGCUAGAUCUGACCGCAAUGUUGUCAAGGGUGCUCGGGCUGCUCGAAUUCAGCAAAACAAAUGUGAACUUUUAGACCCUGUUGUUGCUGAAGCUACACUGGACUUUCGAAAUCUUAACAAGAGAAAACUUUUAACUAAUUUCCCUACAUUUCUCCCUCAGGCAUGGUUGUUAAUUCUCUACACAGGUUUGGCUUUGCGAGAGAACAUACUUUGAGUGAAUGGAAGUGAUAUUCGCCCAUGGUGGAUAAAACAUCACUACUUCGCUAUGGCCAUGGCACUUAUCAGUCUCACUUGGGAGACCCAGAGGCAGGUUAUUAUCCUUCUUAAGUGCAUAUUGAAAUUUUGUUUUUGUUUUUAUUUUUGUUUUUUUUUUAAUGAGUGAGACUGUACAUGUAGUGUGCGGAGAGGGGUGCAACUGUUCCUUCAAUGGGCUAUCAUGCAAGGAGUUGCAAUGCUUCUACAAAAUAGAUAUCAACGGCAAAGGCUUUGUACACAUAUUGCACUCGGCAAGGUGUAAUUGAAAAGAAAAAAAAAAAA